CGGAGAAAAGAAACUAACAAGGAUUCCCCUAGUAACUGCGAGUGAAGCGGGAAAAGCUCAAAUUUAAAAUCUGGCGGUCCCCGGCCGUCCGAGUUGUAAUCUGGAGAAGUGUUUUCUGCGUUGGACCGUGUACAAGUUUUCUGGAACGAAACGUCAUAGAGGGUGAGAAUCCCGUCUUUGACACGGACCGCCAAUGCUCUGUGAUACGCUCUCGAAGAGUCGAGUUGUUUGGGAAUGCAGCUCAAAAUGGGUGGUAAAUUCCAUCUAAAGCUAAAUAUUGGCGAGAGACCGAUAGCGAACAAGUACCGUGAGGGAAAGAUGAAAAGCACUUUGGAAAGAGAGUUAAACAGUACGUGAAAUUGUUGAAAGGGAAACGUUUGAAGUCAGUCGCGUCGGCCGAGACUCAACCUUACUUAUGUUUGGUGCACUUCUCGGUGGACGGGUCAACAUCAAUUUUGAUCGUCGGAUAAAGGUCUGGGGAAUGUGGCAUCUCUCGGGAUGUGUUAUAGCCCUGGGUUCGGAUACGACGGUCGGGAUUGAGGAACUCAGCACGCCUUUAUGGUCGGGGUUUUUGCCCACGCAACGUGCUUAGGAUGUUGGCAUAAUGGCUUUAAGCGACCCGUCUUGAAACACGGACCA
rnacentral:rRNA from 1 species